GUCAUUACCAAGGACGGAAUGCCACAACUCAUGGUGGGCAUUGAAGUCCCCUAGUACCAGGCGGUUAUUGGCUUCCAAAAGUGGGCUUUUAUUAGGCAAGUAACGCGGUUCACAGCUAUUAACCGGCGGGACAUACACAUUAAGCACCUCUACCUCGGCAGUACCACACUUGACUGCUACCCCCAUACACUCCAUGUACGGGUCACUAGAGACUAGCUCAAGCGAGAUAGGUCUGUAUUGAACAGAAUGGUGUAACAGGAACGCUAAUCCCCCACCUCCACUUCUGGUGCGAUCUUUCCUCAAUACGUUGUAACCAUUGCAACGUUGUAAGCUACAAUUUUCAUUGAGCUUGGUUUCCUGCACCGCUGCGAUCUUAAUAUUCCUCCGAUUCAUAAAAUCCACUAUCUCAUCAAUUUUACAUCGAAGUCCGUUGCAAUUGAACUGCAAGAAUGAUGCAUUGUCCGGAAUUGGAACAGCAACAUGUGGCGUUAAGUGCUGUUGUAAAGGUUGCUGUUCUAGAGACUGCGGGGGGUUCCAUACACCGACGACGACUCGGAAGUUGACAACGAGGUCGUGGACUCACUGGGGACUACGUUGGUACAGCACGAAGCAACAUAGUCUCGCAACCGGGUUAGACCGGCCUAUCGCGUUGUAAGAGGUCAACAAGGAUUCCUUAUCAGCUUCCCAAGUGCUGCCGGCAAGAGACUUGAGAACCUUUUUCCCAUUUCUAAUCUUAUGCUAGGAUCACAUUGCACGUGAUUCGCUUUCUAUUCCUUGUUCGACCAUUAACUAAGAAAUAUCUACUUAAUUCCCCACACAAAAUUUGCUGGGCGAACAAAGAUUUUUGUUCUUUGUUCCAUUAAAUCACUCGCAGAACUAAGAUGAAAUGUGCGCCACCCUAAUAAAUGAGAGCAUUAAUCGAAAAAAAAAUUAUGACAUUUAAAAAUUCAAAAUAGACAAAUUUAAUGAAAUUUUUCAAAAUUUUGGGAAGACUGAAAAUUAUGAAUGAAAACUACAAUGUUUAAUGGUGUUUGUACAUUCAAACGAAAGCAAAUUUUGUUUUCUCAACCAAAGUGGGCAUUAUUUUCAAAAGAGGCAAUAUUAAACAAAGUGAUUUUAUCGGCAGAUAAAAUGUUUGACAAGUGUCUCUCCAGCAGAAUUUAAAAAUAGAAAAAUACAAAAAUACGUUCAGAAUGUCCACACUUACACAAAAAUUGAAAAAAAUUGAUAUAAAAAAUCUUUGGGAGAAAACAAUAAUUUAUUUCAUAUUAGUGAGAAUUUCAUGUAUUUUCGUAUAAAUUCCCAUUAAAAUCAACAAACAAAUUGUUUGGAAAAGGAAUUAUUUUACUAUUAAUUCGAAUCGUGCCGUAUGAACGGGUUAAUUCGUGUACCUAAUACUGAGAGCGAACAACUUGAUUGAAAGUGCAAUGAGAACAUAGCAUUAUCGCAGAUAGCUCUGGUAUGCGGGGACGACUUGAAAAGGCUAUCGAAUGUGACCCCUAAGACCUUAGGGUAGUUGGUGGUUGGAAUUACAACUCUAUCGACCUGCACAUUCAAAGAUAGCCUCAUCUCCGCAGUCCAUGAGGUGAAAGUGUGUCCCUCGAUUUAGUGGCGGAUAUCUUCAUAUUCCUCGCAGCGAAAAAGGCGGUUAGAUCAACUAAGUAAGGACGUCACGAGCGUACAAUCAUCUGCGUACAUAUUAUCUCUAUGCCGUCUGUAGGGCGUGGAAUGUCAGAAAUGUAGAGGUUAAACAGUUCCGAAGAUAUCACCUCACUUUGGGAAACUCCAUGUUUCACUCUACGGUAGCUCGACUACUUGUUUCUGAAUUCCACGUACGACUGGCGUCCACAUAUGUAGUUUAAAUCCAACGUUUCAAACUUGGCCGGAGGGCGGUGCGUUCAAUGUACUCGAACAGUGUGGCAUGAUUAACUGUAUCAAAAGCUUUUGAUAAAUCAAGUGCCACCAUAACUGUUCUGUCGCACGGACUGUUCUGGUUGAAUUAUCAAUGUUCAGUAGCGGGACCACCCUGCUCAUUUUCCAGGAAUCGGGAACUAUAAGGGUGGUUAAGGACCGGUUGAGGAGUUUGGUAAGAUACUCAACUCCUGGUUCAUCUAGUUGCUUCAACAUCACCAUAGAGAUUCCGUUAGGACCAAGCGCUUUAGAUGACUUUGCGCUUCUGAUGACAUGUGCAACAUCUUCCAACGUAAAUUGUGGUGGUACCUCCUCGGCUGGAAGAGAUCGUACACGGCGUAGGAUUCUUCUCUUAGCCCUGUCACUCCCGGAGUGCUCUAUGAAUUGCCGCUUUAAAUAACACGCGCACCUCUUCGGAUCUAUCACUUCUACGCCGUUAAAUGAGACAUAUGCUUGAUCAUCCUUUUUUCCAGGGUUCGAGAGCGACUUAACCUUUGCCCACAGUUUACUUGAUCUGGUACUGAUGUUCCAAUGCUUCAGAAGUUCUAGCCACUUUUUCCGCUUAUUCACCGACUAACCUGUUUACCUCCAGAGUUAGUUCCCUGACUCUGGAGUUAUUAGGUUUAGUACGCGAAACUGCCUCUGCUAGGAAAUUUGGUCUUAUUUCAGGUAUUCGACCAGCAGGUAUAUUGCGAGCGGCUGCAGCUUUGAUGAUGUCCCGGAAACACCUAUCUGCUACCUGUACAUCAGAUGGGUUGGACAGUUCACUGAAGCGGCGAUUGGUAUAUUCUCUGAAACCUUGCCAGUUGGCUUUCUCAUGGUUAAGGAAAGUUGCGGCGUUCAGUAUCUAUGAAAUCGGGUGGUCUGUUGAAUGCGACAAUAAUGGAGAGGCGGCCUGAGCCUAGCGAAAUGAUUGCCACGUUACGCCAUUCGUCAGACCUGGGGGCACGAUAGACAUUUCCGGCGAACUGUGGCAGUCUUCCCUUAUUCUGGUGGGCGCGUCCUCAUUCACUGUGCAAAACUUGGAGCUAUCGAUUUGCUCAGCCAGCGCCAUGCCUCGCUGGUCAUUACCUAAGACGGAAUACCAUAGUUCAUGAUGGGCAUUGAAAUCCCCUAGCACCAGACGGUUAUUGAAUACCAGAAGUGAACUGAUAUUGGGCAUAUAACGUGGGGCGCAGCACUUUAACGGCGGAAUGUACAAGCUAAUUACCUCCGCCUCGGCGGUCCACACUUGACCGCUACCUCCAUACAUUCAAUGUACGGGUCACUAGAGUCAAGUUCAGGCGAGAUAGGUCUGUACUGGACAAAGUGGUGCAAUAGGAACGCAAGCAGAUUGAAUGACUCCGUUCCCAGAAGAAGUGGACUGUGAGGAAUUAGGAGUGAAUGAAACAGAUUUGCAGUUGAAAGUGGAUGGUUUUUAUGACUAAAAACGUGAAGCAUUGUGUUGUAACACUCUAUUUUGGCACUCAAUUCACUUGUUUUUCAUGUACAAUUUCGUACGUGAUGCGUUUUGGACAAAACACUUGUGGCACAGACCUUGUUUCUUUACUUCGGAUGUGCGUUGCAUGAAUGAAUGAGAUAAGAGCACUUCCGAAUGAUGUGUGAAGAACUCAGAUACAAUGGAUAUAUCGGAACCGAAACUUUAGCAAAGGCGUAAAAGUAUAAAGAUACGAGAAGUUAGAGUUAAAGUAUUGACACCAUGUUGUUCUGUAAAUGGGGAUAAUGGAAGAAAAGAAAUAAAACAAUUCGAUGAGUUUUUGUUUAUCCAAAUUGGAAAAUUUAAAUUUCGCUUACCAAUAACAACAGUUGUGAUUACAGGUUGGUUACUAAGUUAAUUUAUUGAGGAAAAUUUAAAAACCAAAAACGGACAUUUUGAGUAAUUGAGCGACACAAACGAAAGCAAAGCUCAUGGAUCCACUCGAAACUUAGGACAUAAAAUUAGGGGGCCAGAUCGUAGAAUUUCGAAUUUACAGUUCUUAUUGUUUCAAAACAGAAUAAUCUAUUUUUAUCAAAAAAAAAAAACUUUCAAACAGUCCAAAAUCAUAAAAACAUUUAAAAAGUUAUACACAUAAGUUGAUUCGAAAUUUACGUGUAUAUUCUUUUACUUACGGGAUGUACAAUUUUUCCGCAACGAAGUUAUAACCCUUGUUAUGGCUCUUUCUACUUCAAUCGCUAUAUCUCCGCCUAUGAGCACUCAGAAGUUCGACAAAACAACUAGAAAAUGCCCCUAUCGUCAUACAUUGUACGGCCCUUCACAUGACGCAAAGAGUCUAUAGAAAUUAACCAGUACAGUGCUGGCUUGUUUGUUUGGGAUACUAUAGUAUUUUGUUGUUGCAGAAUGGACAGGCUUAAUCCCUUUAUUGUUGUUUUUAUAAAAAAAACAACGAUUGUUUAUUAGCGGAGAACGAUGGGAAUAAUUAGGUUUCGGAAAGAGCCACCAAUCCUCAUCAGUUCCCUUGUUUUUUGUCUGGGAAAUUCUCCCCAGAAGUUAUUUUAAAAAUAACUUCUAUGACAAAAAACUUUUUUACCCAAGUGACGAGAUCGUAAGGGUCUAAGUACAUAAGAAGCUUGAAGUCAUGGCUACGCAUAUUUUGUUACAUUUCAUAAAGGGAUUACAGAGCCGCACUAAAAUCCUGCCGUCGUUUUCCAUUAUAAUUUGACAUUAAUGUGCCUAGCCAUGACUUCAAGCUUGUUAUGUACUUGCACCUUAAGCUCAACAGAAGAGGAGCCAGUACUUUUAAAUAAAAGAAUCAAGAAAAAAAUAAAAAUAAAUAAAAAAUAAUAUAUAAAAUGUAAAUAACAGGUAAAGAAAGUAGAAAGAAAAAAAAUGAAAAAAUUUUGACAAAUUUAAUUCAUAACAAGCAACAAAAACAAAAAAUAUAUAUAUAUCUAUUAAAAUAUAUUUGGAAAUAUAAGUUUAUAAUGAGGAUGGAAUAAUCUCCCUUUUUUGUGUAGGAACACGAGCAUUGCAACGAAUUCCUAGCAUUUUUGCUGUACUAAUAUCGUCGAUGUUUAGGAAAUCAUCACACAAAAAAUGAUCAUUUGGUAGAUCAUAGAACGUCUAUUGAUUUGCGAAGGGACCAGUUGAUGGUAGAGCAGAUUUAAGCUCAUUUUUAUUUUUGGAUUGAAUUGUAUUGGAAAUUGAAGGUGCACCGGAAAAUACAUCAUCCACGUAUUUAAGCUCAUUUUUUGGAUUGAAGGGGAUGGUCUCCUAAUACAGUAUUCACUCUAUAUCCUUCCAUAACUUCUGAGGCCGCGUUAGAACGAAUACUAUUCAGUCCCACUUGAUAGGCCUGUUGAUCUAGAGGCUCUUAUACCUUUGUACCCCUCUCUCUAGAUCAUGAAGGUCUUUCCUUACGUGCCUGGGCGGAGGUUGCCUAUCCACCAGAUGGUGAUUCGUAUGGCUCUGUCGGUAAUCUAAUGGCGGCAUUCUGACAGGACUGAAUAUUUUUCCACUGCGUAGCACUAAAGUUGGCCGGAACCGCAUAGUUUACUCAGACCGGCCUAUCGCGUUGUAAGAGGUCAACAAGGUUUCCUUAUCAGCUUCCCAAGUGCUGCCGGCAAGAGACUUGAGAACCUAGUUCCUAUUUCUAAUCUUAUGCUAGGAUCACAUUGCACGUGAUUCGCUUUCUAUUCCUUGUUCGACCAUUAAUUAAGAAAUAUCUACUUAAUUCCCCACACAAAAUUUGCUGAACUAAGGUGAAAUGUGCGCCACCCUAAUAAAUGGGAGCAUUUAUCGAAAAAAUAAUCUAUGACAUUUAAAAAUUCAAAAUAGAACAAUUUAUGAAAUUUUUCAAAAUUUUGAGAAGACUGAAAAUUAUGAAUGAAAACUACAAUGUUGAAUGGUGUAUGCACAUUCAAACGAAAGUAAAUUUUGUUUUCUCAUCCGAAGUGGGCAUUAUUUUCAAAAGAGGCAAUAUUUUCAAAAUGUUUUUAUCGGCAGAUAAAAUGUUUGACAAGUGUCUCUUCAGCAGAAUUUAAAAAUAGAAAAAUACAAAAAUACGUUUAGAAUGUCAACACUUAAACAAAAAUUGAAAACAUGAAUGAAAAUUGUAAAAUUAAUUAUAUAAUAAAUCUUUGGGAGAAAAACUAUAAUUUCUUCUAUUCAUAUUAAUGAGAAUUUCAUGUGUUUUCGUAUAAAUUCCCAUUAAAAUCAACAAACUAAUUGUUUGGAAAAGGAAUUAUUUUACUAUUAAUUCGAAUCGUGCCGUAUGAACCUAAUACUGAGAGCGAACAACUUGAUUGAAAGUGCAAUGAGAACAUAGCAUUAUCACAGAUAGCUCUGGUAUGCGGGGACGUCUUGAAAAGGCUAUCGAAUGUGACCCCUAAGACCUUAGGGUAGUUGGUGGUCGGAAUUACAACUCCAUCGACUUGCACAUUCAAAGAUAGCCUCAUUUCCGCAGUCCAUUAGGUGAAAGUGUGUCCCUCGAUUUAGUGGCGGAUAUCUUCAUAUUCCUCGCAGCGAAAAAGGCGGUUAGAUAAACUAAUUAAGGACGUCACGAGCAUACAAUCAUCUGCGUACAUAUUAUCUCUAUGCCGUCUGUAGGGCGUGGAAUGCCAGAAAGGUAGAGGUUAAACAGUUCCGAAGAUAUCACCUCACUUUGGGAAACUCCAUGUUUCACUCUACGGUAGCUCGACUACUUGUUUCUGAAUUCCACGUACGACUGGCGUCCACAUAUGUAGUUUACAAUCCAACGUUUCAAACUUGGCCGGAGGGCGGUGCGUUCAAUGUACUCGAACAGUGUGGCAUGAUUGACUGUAUCAAAAGCUUUUGAUAAAUCAAGUGCCACCAUAACUGUUCUGUCGCACGGCCUGUUCUGGUUGAAUUAUCUGCUGAUAUGUGUGGAGAUGGCGUGUAAAGCUAAAUCUAUCGUUGUGCUAUGCAAUUUUCGGAAUCCGUUGAUUAUCAGCUGCUGGGAAACCUUCGUCUUUGCUAUUGGUGACAAAAGUGAUAUCGGCCUGUUCAGUAGCGGGAUCACUCUGCCCAUUUUCCAGGCAUCGGGAACUAUAAGGGUGGCUAAGGACCGGUUGAGGAGUUUGGUGAGAUACUCAACUCCUGGUUCAUCCAGUUGCUUCAACAUCACCAUAGAGAUCCCGUUAGGACCAAGCGCUUUAGAUGACUGCGCUUCUGAUGACAUGUGCAACAUCUUCCAACGUAAAUUGUGGUGGUACCUCCUCGGCUGGAAGAGAUCGUACACGGCGUAGGAUUCUUCUCUUAGCCCUGUCACUCCCGGAGUGCUCUAUGAAUUGCCGCUUUAAAUAACACGCGCACCUCUUCGGAUCUGUCACUUCUACGCCGUUAAAUGAGACAUAUGUCCGAUCAUCCUUUUUUCCAGGGUUCGAGAGCGACUUAACCUUUGCCCACAGUUUACUCGAUCUGGUGCUGAUGUUCCAAAGCUUCAGAAGUUCUAGCAACUUUUUCCGCUUAUUUGCCGACUAACCUGUUUACCUCCAGAGUUAGUUCCCUGACUCUGGGGUUAUUAGGUUUAGUACGGCGAAACUCAUCUCGCUCAUUUGCUUAUCCCGCUGCCUCUGCUAGGAAAUUUCGUCUUAUUUCAGGUAUUCGACCAGCAGGUAUAUUACGAGCGGCUGCAGCUUUGAUGUUGUCCCGGAAACACCUAUCUGCUACCUGUACAUAAGAUGGGUUGGGCAGUUCACUGAAGCGGCGAUUGGUAUAUUCUCUGAAACCUUGCCAGUUGGCUUUCUCAUGGUUAAGGAAAGUUGCGGCGUUCAGUAUCUAUGAAAUCGGGUGGUCUGUUGAUGGCGACAAUAAUGGAGAGGCGGUCUGAGCCUAGCGAAAUGAUUGCCACGUUACGCCAUUCGUCAGACCUGGGGGCACGAUAGACAUUUUCGGCGAACUGUGGCAGUCUUCCCUUAUUCUGGUGGGCGCGUCCUCAUUCACUGUGCAAAAAUUGGAGCUAUCGAUUUGCUCAGCCAGCGCCAUGCCUCGCUGGUCAUUACCUAAGACGGAAUACCAUAGUUCAUGAUGGGCAUUGAAAUCCCCUAGCACCAGACGGUUAUUGCCUACCAGAAGUGAACUGAUAUUGGGCAUAUAACGUGGGGCGCAGCACUUUAACGGCGGAAUGUACACGCUAAUUACCUCCGCCUCGGCGGUCCACACUUGACCGCUACCUCCAUACAUUCAAUGUACGGGUCACUAGAGUCAAGUUCAGGCGAGAUAGGUCUGUACUGGACAAAGUGGUGCAAUAGGAACGCAAGCAGAUUGAAUGACUCAGUUCCCAGAAGUAGUGGACUGUGAGGAAUUAGGAGUGAAUGAAACAGAUUUGCAGUUGAAAGUGGAUGGUUUUUAUGACUAAAAACGUGAAGCAUUGUGUUGUAACACUCUAUUUUGGCACUCAAUUCACUUGUUUUUGCAUGUACAAUUUCGUACGUGAUGCGUUUUGGACAAAACACUUGUGGCACAGACCUUGUUUCUUUACUUCGGAUGUGCGUUGCAUGAAUGAAUGAGAUAAGAGCACUUCCGAAUGAUGUGUGAAGAACUCAGAUACAAUGGAUAUAUCGGAACCGAAACUUUAGCAAAGGCGUAAAAGUAUAAAGAUACGAGAAGUUAGAGUUAAACUAUUGACACCAUGUUGUUCUGUAAAUGGGGAUAAUGGAAGAAAAGAAAUAAAACAAUUCGAUGAGUUUUUGUUUAUCCAAGUUGGAAAAUUUAAAUUUCGCUUACCAAUAACAACAGUUGUGAUUACAGGUUGGUUACUAAAUUCAUUUAUUGAGGAAAAUUUAAAAACCAAAAACGGACAUUUUGAGUAAUUGAGCGACACAAACGAAAGCAAAGCUCAUGGAUCCACUCGAAACUUAGGACAUAAAAUUAGGGGGCCAGAUCGUAGAAUUUCGAAUUUACAGUUCUUAUUGCAUCAAAAGAGAAUAAUCUAUUUUUAUCAAAAAAAAAAAAAAAAAAAAAAAAAAAAACUUUCAAGCAGUCCAAAAUCAUAAAAACAUUUAAAAAGUUAUACACAUAAGUUGACUCGAAAUUUACGUGUAUAUUCUUUUACUUACGGGAUGUACAAUUUUUCCGCAACGAAGUUAUAACCCUUGUUAUGGCUCUUUCUACUUCAAUCGCUAUAUCUCCGCCUAUGAGCACUCAGAAGUUCGACAAAACAACUAGAAAAAUGCCCCUAUCGUCAUACAUUGUACGGCCCUUCACAUGACGCAAAGAGUCUAUAGAAAUUAACCAGUACAGUGCUGGCUUGUUUGUUUGGGAUACUAUAGUAUUUUGUUGUUGCAGAAUGGACAGGCUUAAUCCCUUUAUUGUUGUUUUUAUAAAAAAAACAACGAUUGUUUAUUAGCGGAGAACGAUGGGAAUAAUUAGGUUUCGGAAAGAGCCACCAAUCCUCAUCAGUUCCCUUGUUUUUUGUCUGGGAAAUUCUCCCCAGAAGUUAUUUUAAAAAUAACUUCUAUGACAAAAAACUUUUUUACCCAAGUGACGAGAUCGUAAGGGUCUAAGUACAUAAGAAGCUUGAAGUCAUGGCUACGCAUAUUUUGUUACAUUUCAUAAAGGGAUUACAGAGCCGCACUAAAAUCCUGCCGUCGUUUUCCAUUAUAAUUUGACAUUAAUGUGCCUAGCCAUGACUUCAAGCUUGUUAUGUACUUGCACCUUAAGCUCAACAGAAGAGGAGCCAGUACUUUUAAAUAAAAGAAUCAAGAAAAAAAUAAAAAUAAAUAAAAAAUAAUAUAUAAAAUGUAAAUAACAGGUAAAGAAAGUAGAAAGAAAAAAAAUGAAAAAAUUUUGACAAAUUUAAUUCAUAACAAGCAACAAAAACAAAAUAUAUAUAUAUAUCUAUUAAAAUAUAUUUGGAAAUAUAAGUUUAUAAUGAGGAUGGAAUAAUCUCCCUUUUUUGUGUAGGAACACGAGCAUUGCAACGAAUUCCUAGCAUUUUUGCUGUACUAAUAUCGUCGAUGUUUAGGAAAUCAUCACACAAAAAAUGAUCAUUUGGUAGAUCAUAGAUCGUCUAUUGAUUUGCGAAGGGACCAGUUGAUGGUAGAGCAGAUUUAAGCUCAUUUUUAUUUUUGGAUUGAAUUGUAUUGGAAAUUGAAGGUGCACCGGAAAAUACAUCAUCCACGUAUUUAAGCUCAUUUUUUGGAUUGAAGGGGAUGGUCUCCUAAUACAGUAUUCACUCUAUAUCCUUCCAUAACUUCUGAGACCGCGUUAGAACGAAUACUAUUCAGUCCCACUUGAUAGGCCUGUUGAUCUAGAGGCUCUUAUACCUUUGUACCCCUCUCUCUAGAUCAUGAAGGUCUUUCCUUACGUGCCUGGGCGGAGGUUGCCUAUCCACCAGAUGGUGACUCGUAUGGCUCUGUCGGUAACACGCUCUGUCGGUAAUCUAAUGGCGGCAUUCUGACAGGACUGAAUAUUUUUUCACUGCGUAGCACUAAAGUUGGCCGGAACCGCAUCGUUUACUCAGACCGGUCUAUCGCGUUGUAAGAGGUCAACAAGGUUUCCUUAUCAGCUUUCCAAGUGCUGCCGGCAAGAGACUUGAGAACCUUGUUCCUAUUUCUAAUCUUAUGCUAGGAUCACAUUGCACGUGAUUCGCUUUCUAUUCCUUGUUCGGCCAUUAAUUAAGAAACAUCUACUUAAUUCCCCACACAAAAUUUGCUGAACUAAGAUGAAAUGUGCGCCACCCUAAUAAAUGAAAGCAUUUAUCGAAAAAAUAAAUUAUGACAUUUAAAAAUUCAAAAUAGAACAAUUUAUGAAAUUUUUCAAAAUUUUGGGAAGACUGAAAAUUAUGAAUGAAAACUACAAUGUUGAAUGGUGUAUGCCCAUUCAAACGAAAGUAAAUUUUGUUUUCUCAACCGAAAUGGGCAUUAUUUUCAAAAGAGGCAAUAUUUUCAAAAUGUAUUUAUCGGCAGAUAAAAUGUUUGACAAGUGUCUUUCCAGCAGAAUUUAAAAAUAGAAAAAUACGUUCAGAGUGUCAACACUUACACAAAAAUUGAAAACAUGAAUGAAAAUUGUAAAAUUAAUUAUAUAAUAAAUCUUUGGGAGAAAACAAUAAUUUCUUCUAUUCAUAUUAGUGAGAAUUUCAUGUAUUUUCGUAUAAAUUCCCAUUAAAAUCAACAAACAAAUUGUUUGGAAAAGGAAUUAUUUUACUAUGAAUUCGAAUCGUGCUGUAUGAACGGGUUAAUUCGUGUACCUAAUACUGAGAGCGAAGAACUUGAUUCAAAGUGCAAUGAGAACAUAGCAUUAUCGCAGAUUGCUCUGGUAUGCGGGGACGACUUGAAAAGGCUAUCGUAUGUGACCCCUAAGACCUUAGGGUAGUUGGUGGUCGGAAUUACAACUCUAUCGACCUGCACAUUCAAAGAUAGCCUCAUCUCCGCAGUCCAUGAGGUGAAAAUGUGUCCCUCGAUUUAGUGGCGGAUAUCUUCAUAUUCCUCGCAGCGAAAAAGGCGGUUAGAUCAACUAAUUAAGGACGUCACGAGCGUACAAUCAUCUGCGUACAUAUUAUCUCUAUGCCGUCUGGAGGGCGUGGAAUGCCAGAAAGGUAGAGGUUAAACAGUUCCGAAGAUAUCACCUCACUUUGGGAAAAUCCAUGUUUCACUAUACGGUAGCUCGACUACUUGUUUCUGAAUUCCACGUACGACUGGCGUCCACAUAUGUAGUUUACAAUCCAACGUUUCAAACUUGGCCGGAGGGCGGUGCGUUCAAUGUACUCGAACAGAGUGGCAUGAUUGACUGUAUCAAAAGCUUUUGAUAAAUCAAGUGCCACCAUAACUGUUCUGUCGCACGGCCUGUUCUGGUUGAAUUAUCUGCUGAUAUGUGUGGAGAUGGCGUGUAAAGCUAAAUCUAUCGUUGUGCUAUGCAAUUUUCGGAAUCCGUUGAUUAUCAGCUACUGGGAAACCUUCGUCUUUGCUACUGGUGACAAAAGUGAUAUCGGCCUGUUCAGUAGCGGGAUCACUCUGCCCAUUUUCCAUGCAUCGGGAACUAUAAGGGUGGCUAAGGACCGGUUGAGGAGUUUGGUGAGAUACUCAACUCCUGGUUCAUCCAGUUGCUUCAACAUCACCAUAGAGAUUCCGUUAGGACCAAGCGCUUUAGAUGACUGCGCUUCUGAUGACAUGUGCAACAUCUUCCAACGUAAAUUGUGGUGGUACCUCCUCGGCUGGAAGAGAUCGUACACGGCGUAGAUUCUUCUAUUAGCCCUGUCACUCCCGGAGUGCUCUGUGAAUUGCCGCUUUAAAUAACACGCACACCUCUUCGGAUCUGUCACUUCUACGCCGUUAAAUGAGACAUAUGUCCGAUCAUCCUUUUUUCCAGGGUUCGAGAGCGACUUAACCUUUGCCCACAGUUUACUCGAUCAGGUACUGAUGUUCCAAAGCUUCAGAAGUUCUAGCAACUUUUUCCGCUUAUUUGCCGACUAACCUGUUUACCUCCAGAGUUAGUUCCCUGACUCUGGGGUUAUUAGGUUUAGUACGGCGAAACUCAUCUCGCUCAUUUGCUUAUCCCGCUGCCUCUGCUAGGAAAUUUCGUCUUAUUUCAGGUAUUCGACCAGCAGGUAUAUUACGAGCGGCUGCAGCUUUGAUGUUGUCCCGGAAACACCUAUCUGCUACCUGUACAUCAGAUGGGUUGGGCAGUUCACUGAAGCGGCGAUUGGUAUAUUCUCUGAAAUCUUGCUAGUUGGCUUUCUCAUGGUUAAGGAAAGUUGCGGCGUUCAGUAUCUAUAAAAUCGGGUGGUCUGUUGAUGGCGGCAAUAAUAGGGAGUCGUUCUGAGCCUAGCGAAAUUAUUGCUAAAACUUGGAGCUAUCGAUUUGCUCAGCCAGCGGCAUGCCUCGCUGGUCAUUACCUAAGACGGAAUGUCAUAGUUCAUGAUGGGCAUUGAAAUCCCCUAGCACCAGACGGUUAUUGCCUACCAGAAGUGAACUGAUAUUGGGCAUAUAACGUGGGGCGCAGCACUUUAACGGCGGUAUGUACACGCUAAGCAUCUCCGCCUGGGCGGUUCCACACGUGACCGCUACCUCCAUACAUUCAAUGUACGGGUCACUAGAGUCAAGCUCAGGCGAAAUAGGUCUCUAUUGGACAGAGUGGUGCAAUAGGAACGCAGCAAGAUUGAAUGACUCCGUUCCCAGAAGUAGGGGACUGUGAGGAAUUAGGAGUGAAUGAAACAGAUUUGCAGAUCAAAGUGGAAGGAUUUAUGUCUAAGAACGUGAAGCAUUGUGUUGUGGCACUCUAUUUUGGCACUCAACUCACUUGUUUUUCAUGUACAAUUUCGUACGUGAUGCGUUUUGGAGAAACAAUAGUGGCACAGAUCUUGUUUCUUUACUUCGGAUGUGCGUUGCAUGAAUGAAUGAGCUAAGGGCACUUCCGAAUGUGAAGAAUUCAGACAUAAUGGAACAGAAACUUUAGCAAAGGCGUAAAAGUAUAAAGGUACGAGAAGUUAGAGUUAAAGUAUUGACACUAUGUUGUUACGAUAUCAUAAUCAAUUUUGAGAUCAAAAUUUUGGUUUACAGAAAAUGUUGUUCUGUAAAUGGGGAAAAUGGAAGAAAAGAAGUAAAGUAUUUCGAUGAGUUUUUGUUUAUUCAAAUUGGAAAAUUUAAAUUUCGCUUAUUUGACAUUUUAAGUAAUUGAGCGACACAAACGAAAGCAAAGCUCAUGGAUCCACUUGAAACUUAGGACAUAGAAUUAGGCGGGCAGAUCGUAGAAUUUCGAAUUUACAGUUCUCAUUGCAUCAAAACAGAAUAAUCUAUUAUUAUCAAAAAAAAAAAAAAAACUUUCAAACAGUCCAAAAUCAUAAAAACAUUUCAAAAGUUAUACACAUAAGUUUAUACGAAAUUUACGUGUAUAUUCUUUUACUUACGGGAUGUACAAUUGUUCCGCAACGAAGUUAUAACCCUUGUUAUGACUCUUUCUACUUCAAUCGCAUUCAGCACUUAGAAGUUCGACAAAACAACUAGCAAAAUGCCCCUAUCGUCAUAAAUUGGAUGGCCCUUCACAUAACGCAAAGAAUCUAUAGAAAUUAACCAGUACAGUGACGGCUUGUUUGUUCGGGAUACUAUAGUAUUUUGUUGUUGCAGAAUGGUCAGGCUUAAUCCCUUUAUUGUAGUUUUUAUAAAAACAACGUUUGUUUAUUAGUGGAGAACGAUGGGAAUAUCCAGGUUUCGGAAAGAGCAACAAAUCCUCAUCAGUUCACUUGUUUUUUGUCUGGGAUAUUCUCCCCAGAAGUUAUUUUAAAAAUAACUUCUAUGACAAAAAACUUUUUUACCCAAGUGACGAGAUCGUAAGCUCAAUAGAAGAGGAACCAGUACUUUAAAAAAAAUCAAGAAAAAAACAUAUAAAAAUAAAUAAAAAAUAAUAUAUAAAAUAUACAUAACAGGUAAAAAAUUAGAAAGAAAAAUAAAGUGAAAAACAUUUGACAAAUUUAAUUUAUAACAAGCAACAAAAACAUGAGAUUUAUUGUAUUACUUCUUUUGUCUGCGAUAAAAUGACGACACUCAUCCAGUGAUACAAAUGGCGGUCAAACUACUGUACUUUCUAAAUCUUCUUAGCUAUGACCUUAGAAGAAUUGGAGAUAAGUGCAAUAAAACCUAAGCAUUUGAAAUAGCCCGAUUUUAAAUAAAAUAUCCGAAACAGUCUAUUCGCGUACUUAAUGUGACAAAUAAGUAUUGUAUCCAAUUCUGCAAAAGAGAAAGUGUUUAAUUGUACAAUAUUAGAUUUAGUUGCAUUCGUAUUUUUAAUGGGUCAGUUGUAACAUCGAGUUCGUCGAGUGUAACUAUGAUCCUUUUGUUGUCGACCUGUGUAUGUCUUUAUAUGGGUUAGUUCAAAGGACUUCUUUUAAAUAGGAUGCGGGAUAGGCCAAGGACAACCAGUGCGUAGGAUCGUCACCAGGACAUUCUAUACCCUAUGGCUAUGAGAUCUUUUUCUAUUUAGAAACAUAAUAGCCAUGAUUCAUAGUCCUUUUAGAUAAUCCAUUUAUGCUUAUCUAAAACAUCUAUGGGAAAAGACUUUCGAAAAAUACUUAAAUUCGCCAGUGUUGCGAUUUAGAUUUUAUCUAAAUGCUUUAACAAUUACGGGCUAGUCAAUAAGAAUUCCCCUAUUUGAAAUUUUCUUUUGUUAUACAACCAUUUGAUUAAAAGAAAACGUAAUCAUCAAUCAAAAAUAAGGGAAAGAAAUAAGGAACAGACAAAAAAUUGAAUCUAUUAUCAAAAAUAGAAUAGUUCAUUUGUAAAAUCUAUAUACAAAAAUAAUAAAUAAAGUUUUACAAAGACAAAAAAGGAGUGUACCUUGUUUAUACAAAUGUUUUUCCAUUCGAUAUUGAGUCUGUAUAAAAAAAGUAUAAAAUAAACAUUAUUGUUGGGAGUGAAAUACAAAAUAUACGAAAAAAGUUAAAAAGUUUGGUAAGAACCAUGGAAACAAAUUCUCAAAUAACAGCCUUGCACUCAGAGGUGUAAGUUCAAAACAGUGACAAUUUGCAAUUUGAAGAAAUUAGAGUUUUAAUUAAAAGUAAGACUGUUUAGUGUAAAUGAAACACGAAAAUACUAAGUCCAUGGUUUCUUUUUUUCAAAAAGGAGAUACUGUUAAGGAUUAAUCGAGAAAAAAGCUCUUAACCUAAAGUAAGACGGUGCAUGAAAUUGCUUAUUAACACAGAACGGACAGCAAGGUUUAUCAAGCCAGAAACAAUGUAGGACUAGAAAUACUUUGCAAUGAUUGGUGCAUUUGACAGAAAAGCGGAUUGAUAAAAUAUUCAAAUAUGUAUAGGAAACUUCUUUGCGUCCGCCGGAAAGCGUGUGGACGUUUUCAAAACAAAGAUACCCUUAUAGUGCCCAACCUGUGAUCGUCAGGUGUGGAAUUUUGAGGGCGGCGACAGAAUCCCGAAGUAACCUAAUAUUAUAUUCCCUUCUCCAGGCCAUCCUAUACACGUUUUUUACAAACUUAACAAUUAUACCUUUCCAAAUUUAGUAGCCAGUAUGUUUUGUCAUAUAUUUAUCUAUUUGUUCCUUAAUUGGUCGCAGAAGAACGAGAAGAACACAAGUACGACAACAGAGAAAAUGAAUAUGGAGGAUGGCUCAAAGCCGCAAAAGUUGAUUCACCAACGGUUACCACAACAUUAAAGAAUUUGGGCGCAUUAUACCGCAGGCAAGGUAUGUUUGAAGCAGCAGAAACAUUGGAAGAUUGCGCCCUACGUAGCAAAAAAGAAGCACUGGAUAUGGCGAAACAAAAUAAGAAAAUGCAUAAAUAAGGAACCAUGCAACAUUCUAACUGGCUGACGAUGGAUAAUUUUCUGUGACAACUAAUGUGGAAUCAUUCCAUCAUGUCUAUAAAUUCUUCUAAAAUACAAAAUAAAAUAUAUUCCGUAAUAUGUAACAUAUGAAAAUAAUUGUUUUGGUCUAGCUAACUGUAUAAUUAAAAAGUUAAUUUUGUUUUAAAUGUGCUAUAUCAACUCAAAUUUACAGUCCAUGUUUAUGAUUUUUUGAUUGUAUUUACAUAACUUAAGAAGUUAUUCCCACAAAUUAAAAAAAAAUUAACAUAGAACUUUACACUUAUUAAGAACGUACACUAUAUGGAGUCUAAAAAAGUUUAUUUCGAGGAGUAACAAACAAAAUGACAAAAGAGAAAAGAGUUUAAAACAUCAUGCAGCCAUAACAAUUUUUAAGAAAAUUUUCAAAUCGCAUCCACGAACGUUGCAUAAUGGAUAAACGAAAACCAAAUAUAAGUUUCAGCUUUCAGCUAAUUGAGAGCCACUAGUUUUUAAUUGAUAGUUCUUUGGUGAGUGAUCGAUUAUUGGAGAUGGCCCUUUGGAGAUGGUCCUUUGGAGAUGGCGGAAGAGGUUCCGUUUCUUAUAAAGAAGGUAAUUUGGUUAUGGCUCUUUUAAUUUCGCCGUUUAUUGUCUUUACGUCAAUUACACAAACGGCUCCGUCGUGGUGCUCUUAGGGGAAAAACUGAAAAUCGAUCCCUUAUCUUGAGCACGUCUGCGCUAUUAUCUUCUUGCCUUUCGUUCCAAAGACAGCCUCAUUAAAUUCAUCGAGAUGAUUUUUGGCUCCAACAAAGUUCGUCGCGUUGUCUGAAUAUAAGGUUUGAUAUUUCCCUCGCCGAGAGAUAAAUCUCUUCAAUGCUCCAAUGGAUGCUUCCGUUGUUAAGUCUGUAACUACUUCCAAAUGUACAGCCUUUGUUGGAAGCAGACAAAGACAGCGAUGUAAACCUUGUGUGGUCGCUUGCCUCGUAUUUUGUAGUGGACCCAUAGUGGUCCGCAAUGGUCAACGCCGGAGACAAUAAAAGGCCUUGCAGGUGUGACCCUGCUCGGUGAGAGAUUUCCCAUGAUUUGGUUGUAUACCUUUGGCUUGGCCCGGGUGCACCUUACGCAAUUUUGCACAAUGUUGCGAGCCAUAGCCUUCCCCUUAAUUAUCCAAUAUUUUUGCCUUGACGUUGCCAGCAAUAGUUGUGAGCCACAGUGGCUAUUCUCUAAAUGGAUCAUGCUUAGAAUGAGUUUCACAAUUGGAUCGUUGUGUGGUAACAACAUCGGGUGUUUUGUGUCGUAUGCUAAGGUUGGCUCUUCCAACCAGCCACCGACUCUAAGUAUUCCUCUGUCAUCAAGAAUCGGAGUCAAAGUAUGUAUAGAGCUUGUUUUGUCCAAUACUCCAUGUUUCUUCAACUGCCAGCAUUUGUAAUCGUCUAAAUGAACCCUUGUGCUUGAUUUCCAGAGAUUUAUUUCCAUGUAGAUACGUGGGUCCAUAAAACCACAUCAGACAUCCCGACAGACGAUCUGGGGCAGGAUUAUCCUUUGUCCCCACAUGUCGCCAUUGAGUGCUUAGCGAUCUGCCUUGUAUGUUUUUUACCUUGUUGGCAACGAACGUCUUAGUACUGAUGGUUCCGAAUUGAUCCAGUACAGUGUAAUCUCUGAAUCCGACCUUCGUAACCCAAUUCGGUUUUGACUUUAGCAGUAAGUUUUGCCCCCAAUUCAGCGGCACAAAGCUCUAACCCUGGCAACGUGAUCUCCUUUAUUUGUGCUAUUUUUGAUUUUGAACAAAGGAGUCUGACUAUAUGCCUGGCGUUCGGCAGCAUAGUCCGAAGAUACACCACAGCACCAUAGGCCUUUUCUGACGCGUCCACAAAAGUAUGUACCCUUCUGAUACUAUGGAAACAAACUAAAAAAAAAAAAACAAUUAAU